rnacentral:rRNA from 1 species
AUUGAACGCUGGCGGCAGGCCUAACACAUGCAAGUCGAACGGUAACAGGAAGCAGCUUGCUGCUUUGCUGACGAGUGGCGGACGGGUGAGUAAUGUCUGGGAAACUGCCUGAUGGCGGGGGAUAACUACUGGACACGGUAGCUAAUACCGCAUAACGUCGCACGACCAAAGAGGGGGACCUUAGGGCCUCUUGCCAUCGGAUGUGCCCAGAUGGGAUUAGCUAGUAGGUGGGGUAACGGCUCACCUCGGCGACGAUCCCUAGCUGGUCUGAGCGGAUGACCAGCCACACUGGAACUGAGACACGGUCCAGACUCCUACGGGAGGCAGCAGUGGGGAAUAUUGCACAAGGGGCGCAAGCCUGAUGCAGCCAUGCCGCGUGUAUGAAGAAGGCCUUCGGGUUGUAAAGUACUUUCAGCGGGGAGGAAGGGAGUAAAGUUAAUACCUUUGCUCAUUGACGUUACCCGCAGAAGAAGCACCGGCUAACUCCGUG